UUGAACGCUGGCGGCAUGCUUUACACAUGCAAGUCGAACGGCAGCACGGGGGCAACCCUGGUGGCGAGUGGCGAACGGGUGAGUAAUAUAUCGGAACAUAUCCGGAAGUGGGGGAUAACGUACCGAAAGGUACGCUAAUACCGCAUAUGCCCUGAGGGGGAAAGGGGGGGAUCGCAAGACCUCUCGCUUUCGGAGUGGCCGAUAUCGGAUUAGCUAGAUGGUGGGGUAAAGGCUCACCAUGGCGACGAUCCGUAGCUGGUCUGAGAGGACGACCAGCCACACUGGAACUGAGACACGGUCCAGACUCCUACGGGAGGCAGCAGUGGGGAAUUUUGGACAAUGGGCGCAAGCCUGAUCCAGCCAUGCCGCGUGAGUGAAGAAGGCCUUCGGGUUGUAAAGCUCUUUCAGCCGGAAAGAAAACGCACCCAUUAAUACUGGGUGUGGAUGACGGUACCGGAAGAAGAAGCACCGGCUAACUACGU
rnacentral:rRNA from 1 species